CUUACCAACCCGAUGCAAACUGCGAAUACCGGAGAAUGUUAUCACGGGAGACACACGGCGGGUGCUAACGUCCGUCGUGAAGAGGGAAACAACCCAGACCGCCAGCUAAGGUCCCAAAGUCAUGGUUAAGUGGGAAACGAUGUGGGAAGGCCCAGACAGCCAGGAUGUUGGCUUAGAAGCAGCCAUCAUUUAAAGAAAGCGUAAUAGCUCACUGGUCGAGUCGGCCUGCGCGGAAGAUGUAACGGGGCUAAACCAUGCACCGAAGCUGCGGCAGCGACACUGUGUGUUGUUGGGUAGGGGAGCGUUCUGUAAGCCUGCGAAGGUGGCCUGUGAGGGUUGCUGGAGGUAUCAGAAGUGCGAAUGCUGACAUAAGUAACGAUAAAGCGGGUGAAAAGCCCGCUCGCCGGAAGACCAAGGGUUCCUGUCCAACGUUAAUCGGGGCAGGGUGAGUCGACCCCUAAGGCGAGGCCGAAAGGCGUAGUCGAUGGGAAACGGGUUAAUAUUCCCGUACUUGGUGUUACUGCGAAGGGGGGACGGAGAAGGCUAUGUUGGCCGGGCGACGGUUGUCCCGGUUUAAGCGUGUAGGUGUGUGUUCCAGGUAAAUCCGGUUCACUUUAACACUGAGGCGUGACGACGAGGCACUACGGUGCUGAAGCAACAAAUGCCCUGCUUCCAGGAAAAGCCUCUAAGCAUCAGGUAACAUCAAAUCGUACCCCAAACCGACACAGGUGGUCAGGUAGAGAAUACCAAGGCGCUUGAGAGAACUCGGGUGAAGGAACUAGGCAAAAUGGUGCCGUAACUUCGGGAGAAGGCACGCUGACACGUAGGUGAAGUGAUUUACUCAUGGAGCUGAAGUCAGUCGAAGAUACCAGCUGGCUGCAACUGUUUAUUAAAAACACAGCACUGUGCAAACACGAAAGUGGACGUAUACGGUGUGACGCCUGCCCGGUGCCGGAAGGUUAAUUGAUGGGGUCAGCGCAAGCGAAGCUCCUGAUCGAAGCCCCGGUAAACGGCGGCCGUAACUAUAACGGUCCUAAGGUAGCGAAAUUCCUUGUCGGGUAAGUUCCGACCUGCACGAAUGGCGUAAUGAUGGCCAGGCUGUCUCCACCCGAGACUCAGUGAAAUUGAACUCGCUGUGAAGAUGCAGUGUACCCGCGGCAAGACGGAAAGACCCCGUGAACCUUUACUAUAGCUUGACACUGAACAUUGAGCCUUGAUGUGUAGGAUAGGUGGGAGGCUUUGAAGUGUGGACGCCAGUCUGCAUGGAGCCGACCUUGAAAUACCACCCUUUAAUGUUUGAUGUUCUAACGUGGACCCGUUACCCGGGUUGCGGACAGUGUCUGGUGGGUAGUUUGACUGGGGCGGUCUCCUCCUAAAGAGUAACGGAGGAGCACGAAGGUUGGCU
rnacentral:rRNA from 1 species